rnacentral:rRNA from 1 species
GAUGAACGCUGGCGGCGUUCCUAAUACAUGCAAGUCGAGCGAACAGACGAGGAGCUUGCUCCUCUGACUUUAGCGGCGAACGGGUGAGUAACACGUGGAUAACCUACCUAUAAUACUGGGAUAACUUCGGGAAACCGGAGCUAAUACCGGAUAAUAUAUUGAACCGCAUGGUUCAAUAGUGAAAGACGGUUUUGCUGUCACUUAUAGAUGGAUCCGCGCCGCAUUAGCUAGUUGGUAAGGUAACGGCUUACCAAGGCAACGAUGCGUAGCCGACCUGAGAGGGAGAUCGGCCACACUGGAACUGAGACACGGUCCAGACUCCUACGGGAGGCAGCAGUAGGGAAUCUUCCGCAAUGGGCGAAAGAAUGACGGAGCAACGCCGAGUGAGUGAUGAAGGUCUACGGAUCGUAAAACUAUGUUAUUAGGGAAGAACAAAUGUGUAAGUAACUAUGCACGUCUUGACGGUACCUAAUAAGAAAGCCACGGCUAACUACGUG